rnacentral:rRNA from 1 species
UGGGGAAUAUUGGACAAUGGGCGAAAGCCUGAUCCAGCCAUGCCGCGUGUGUGAAGAAGGUCUUCGGAUUGUAAAGCACUUUAAGUUGGGAGGAAGGGCAGUAAGCGAAUACCUUGCUGUUUUGACGUUACCGACAGAAUAAGCACCGGCUAACUCUGUGCCAGCAGCCGCGGUAAUACAGAGGGUGCAAGCGUUAAUCGGAAUUACUGGGCGUAAAGCGCGCGUAGGUGGUUCGUUAAGUUGAAUGUGAAAGCCCCGGGCUCAACCUGGGAACUGCAUCCAAAACUGGCGGGCUGGAGUAGGGCAGAGGGUGGUGGAAUUUCCUGUGUAGCGGUGAAAUGCGUAGAUAUAGGAAGGAACACCAGUGGCGAAGGCGACCACCUGGGCUCAUACUGACACUGAGGUGCGAAAGCGUGGGGUGCAAACAGG